UACGGGGGGGGCAAGCGUUGUUCGGAAUUACUGGGCGUAAAGGGCUCGUAGGCGGCCAACUAAGUCAGACGUGAAAUCCCUCGGCUUAACCGGGGAACUGCGUCUGAUACUGGAUGGCUUGAGUUCGGGAGAGGGAUGCGGAAUUCCAGGUGUAGCGGUGAAAUGCGCAGAUAUCGGGAAGAACACCCGUGGCUAAGGCGGCUCUCUAGUACGGUACUGACGCUGAGACGCGAAAGCGUGGGGAGCGAACAGG
rnacentral:rRNA from 1 species